GGGCUCGGAGAGACGCGGCUACACAUCACCAAGACCCGGGAUGGAGGAGAGAGGCGGAGGGGGGAAGAAAAAGUUUAAACCUGGCAGACCAACUUUCAACAUGACGCCUCAUUGACGCGCAGUCUUGCCACCAUCACAACGACAAGAGCUGCAGUGCUAGAUUAAAGCUUGUGAAAUUAUUCUUCACCUUUUUUUUUUGCCUUUCCUUCUUCGCUGUCUGUGCGCGCAAGGCUGGCGGAGGCUUGCUGUCCCUGCGCGCUGAGAUGUUGGAGUGAGCAUGGCCGCGCAAGUGGCAUCGGCUCCCGCUAGAACUAACAACAAAAAUAAGAAAUUAUCCAGCAGCUUGGGCACGGAGCUCAAUUCGGGGAAAUCCGGAGGAGGAGGAGGCAACAUACAGAUGCUGGGCGCGGGAGAUGGGACCUUAAAUAACGUAGACCAUCACCGCCGAACGGAGCCCAGCAUGGUGCGUUCAACUUCUACGGGUCACAACAAGGAUGGGAAUAACCUCACAUCGUCUAAUUCCAACGCGCCUUCAAUGGAAACGGCACUGGUCACAAACCAUAAGCUGAAAUGUGUUGGGAGCGGUGGAGACCCCCCUCAGUCCCAGACACCGCAGCCGCAAUUCGGCCAAUUUGCGCCGCAUCCGCAGCGUCAGAUCCACAACAACAACAACGGCCAGGGACCCCGAGGUGGGGUGGACCAUCACGGCGGCAAAGAGAACCUGCUGGGAGGUCAAGGGGAGUCACAGCAGCAGCAGCAGGUGCAAGGUAAAGGUGAGGGACACCUUAAAUCCACAGAGGGGAUGAUGUCUACAAGGUAUGACCACUCUAACUUGGGGCCAACUAGCAACAACUCAGAGUUCAACAACUAUUACACUGCAAGGUCUUACGAGCAACAUGGCGGACAGCCGCAGCAAGGGAUGGGGGUAACAUCGGCGCAGAACAGCAUGGACAACUCCCAUGAAGCAGGCUACCAGAACAGCCAGUACAAUCAGUACCCUCCCUAUAAUAGGACCGGGUAUGGCGGCGGGGCCUACGGCAUGAUGGCCCCCUCUGGGUGCCGGCAACCUGGGAGCAUGAUGAUGAGCAGCAACUCCUCAGCAAGCCACAGCAAGUCCACGCUGGGGGCCUCUUCCAGUGGUUUCCAAAGGUUCCCAGGGCCACCUCAGCAACAGCAUCCCUCAGGGGCCACCCCAACCCUCAACCAGCUGCUCACAUCCCCCAGCCCCAUGAUGCGAGGCUACAGCGGAGCCUACCAAGACUACAGUGGAUCCUCCUCGCAACAGGGCUUGGGGAAAGAUGUGGGCCCCCAAUACGGUGCCACGUCGGCCCACGGAUGGGGAGGGCAGCCUAGGAGCCAUCCACAUUCAUUGAGUCCAGGCAGUGGGGGGCAAGGCCUCGGGAGAAGUCAGGUGUCCUCCAUGGAUUUCAUGGCAAUGAAGCGUUCACAGCUGUAUGGCAUGGCCAACAAUCCGUACUCAGGCCCACAGCAUCCAGGGGGCGGGCCUUACCCUCCAAGCCAGCCAUACACUCCACCUCCUUCACAGCGUUAUCCAAUGAGCAUGCAGGGAAGAAGUCAGAUAGGCAUGGGCAGCAUGCAGUAUCCUCAGCAGCAGGUGGGGCCCUAUGGUCAGCAGGGGAUGGGUGGCUACAGUCAGCAGCAGCAGACGGGCCAGCAGGGAACUCUGCCCUAUUUCAGUCCCACCCAACAGACCCCUCCAGCCCCCAACCAGAGCCCUUACCUGCAGUCACGACCACCUCCACAGGAGGCACAACACGAGAGCUACAGCACCAGAGGUCCGGGUCCAGGGAACUCUGGGAAGAACAACAAUGAGGAUGGUGUCUCUUCACAGGACCGCCCUUCCAGUCUGCCGGAUCUAUCUGGCUCGAUAGAUGACCUCCCCACAGGGACCGAGGCUGGUCUGGGAUCAGCCGUCAGCAGCAGUAGUAGCCAAGGGGAGCAAGCAGGGGCCAGCACCCAAAGACAGUCUCCUUUCUCUCCGCACGCCUCCCCACACCUUCACAGUCACCGAAGCGGACCUUCUCCCUCACCUGUGGGUUCACCUGCAGGCUCCACGCAGUCCCAGCAGUCACGAUCAGGUUCUGGGCCCAUCUCGCCUGCCAGUGGACCCCCUGCAGGUGCCAACACACCAGGCCCCACCUUGACCCCACAGAGCUCUGGGAACGGACCGGAUGGAUCUCACCCACCGAUCACGCGUUCACCUAUGGCUCAGGAGCGAGGGUUCAUAUCGAACAUGCAGAGGAACCAGGCUGGCUCUCAAUUCCCACUGUAUCCCGGGAUGGGUCCCUACUCCCAAUGUGGACCCCAAGGCCCUUACGCACCUCAAGGAUCCCAGUAUGGACACCCAGGGAACUACCCUCGGCCCGCCAACUACAGUGGGACUACAAGUACCAACUACAGUGGUCCUGGCCCAGGCAUGACCAACAGUCUGGCCAUGAACGCAAGCAGCCCCAUGCACGGCCAAGGCCCUGGUCAACCCAUCCCUGGAGGACGCAACAAUGGACCGGGCAACCACAACAGGGGAUACCCCACUGUGGCCCCCACCUCCCCCAGCAUGCCUCAGCCAGCAGGACCGGGAAUGGGCCCACCGUCUUCAGCUUCUUCUAACCGCAAGACCCAGGAGGCAGCAGCAGCCAUCAUGCAAGGCUCAGCCAAUGCAACACACAGCAGGCAGGGCACCUACCAAGGACCAAGUAUCAGCCAGGCAAGCACAACAGUCUCCUACAGCCAACCAGCAGGCAACAAUGACCCAGCCAUGGGCAACACUCAAGGUCCAGUCUAUAAUGUGAUGCCUUCAGGAGCCAUUGGAAGUUCAGGGGACGGCAUGAUGAGCUCAGAUGUGAAAGCGAAAGCAGAUGCAAAAGAUGACAAUGAUCCCACCAACGACACUCACAAGCCAAAGCAGUUACAAAACAGCCACAAUACCAACAGCACCACGAGCUCCCAGCAGUUUGUAUCUCAGCCGGCCACACCGAGCAGCGUCCUGCCCGUCCCCUCCCCUCUUUCACCCAGCCCGGCCAGUUUGUCCUCCUACCAUGGAGAUGAUAGUGACAGCAUCAGCAGCCCACCUUGGCCCAUCAAGGCCCCUCCGAGCCCUAAAGCCAACUCAAACUCCUCAACGGCCUGUGGUGAGCGAAUCGUGCGGCUAUAUGAUCUGGGCGUGGAACCGGAGAGGCGCAGCUGGGUGGAGCGCUAUCUUUCCUUCAUGGAGGAGAGAGGAACGCCCGUUUCCCAGCUGCCUGUUGUGGGGAAGAAGCCACUGGACCUCUGGAAGCUCUACAUUGCUGUUCGCGAGAUUGGAGGCCUCGCCAUGGUAAAUAAGAACAAGAAGUGGCGUGAGUUGUCGACCACUCUGAGCGUGGGGACAUCGAGCAGCUCGGCCAGCUCGCUCAAGAAGAACUAUAUCCAGUACCUGUUUGCCUAUGAGUGUAAGAUGGAGCGGGGAGAAGAGCCACCAGCAGACAGCAGCAGCAGCAGCAGCGGCAGCAUGGCCGGAACAGACAACAGGAAGCAGGUCAAGGUCCAGCCGCCCUCACCCGCUAACUCUGGUGGCUCCCUCCAAGGUCCACAAACACCCCAGUCUUCUGGCAGCAGCUCCACUGUGGAAGGUGCAGUUGACCUCAUUCCCCCGACACGUGCCACCACCCCGCUUGGACAGGUCGCACCUGUGUCAAUCAACAGGAGCAGCGUGAGUGUGCAGGACCCCUUCUCAGAGGUCAGCGACCCGGCCUUCCAGAAGCGCUCUUCUUCUCUGCCCCCCUCUGCGUCGUACCAGCAGGGCCUCGGCAUGCCUGACAUGAUGAUGAGGAUGCAGUACGAUGCCAAGGAUCCGUUCGCUGGCAUGAGGAAGAUGGUAGGAGCUGAUCCCUACAUGCCCGGCCAAAUUCCAACCAGUGGUGUUCAGGACAUGUACGGGCGGCCCCCAACAGCCCUGAGCAUGACUCAACGGUCGCAGUACCCAUACGGGCCUGGCUACGACAGGAGACCAGACCACAUGAUGGGGAUGGAGGGAGGUAUGGGUCCUCCUGGCAGUCAGAACAACAUGGGACCUCACAGUGAGGGUAGCAUGUAUUCUCCCAACAGAUAUCCUUCACAGCAGAGACAUGACGGCUAUAGUUCACAGUACCCUGGCAUGCCAUAUGGGAUGCAUCCUUCUGGAAUGUACCAGCAGCAACAGGGCUACAAAAGGCCCAUGGAUAGCAUUUAUGGCCCCCCACCCAAGAGGCACGAGAGCGACAUGUAUGGCAUGCAGUACCCCAACCAGCAGACAGAUAUGUAUAACCACUAUAGUGGGGGCUAUUCAGGCCCAGAUCACAGACCCCUCCAAGGACAGUUCCCUUACCCCUACCCCCGUGACCGCAUGGCUUCUUCUAUGCCAAGUCAGCACAGUAUGAUGAGUGGGGGGGCUACUCCAAACCACACUGGUGACGGUCCCAACAUGUGGCCAUCCAGGACAGACCUCAGCUAUCCCUACCCCAACCGACAAGGGCCCUCAUCCCAGAUGCCCCCUUAUGGCUCCAUUGGCAGAGAAGAUAUGGACGGGCGGCCCGGACAGGAUCAUUGGCACCGGCAGUCUCCUUAUAUGUCAUCUCCAGGCAGCAUGACUCCCUUUUCAUCACGCCACCCCCCAUCGUCUUAUUCCAACUCCCAGUCCAUGGCAAACCACCUGCCCAGAGCGCCAAGUCCAGGGGCUUUUCAGCGGGCCAUGGACUCUCGGGUGUCACCCAGCAAAGCAGCUUUCAUGUCAGUCAUGAAGAUGUCAAAGCCUGGGAUGCCCAUGAUGGGAUCUCAGGGAUGCGGAACACUGGGUCAGUUCCCUCCCAACCUGAGAAGGGACCUCAACUACCCACCAGGAUCAGUGGAGGGUACCAUGCCGAUUCUCAGGCAUCGACGCAAGCUUACCUCAAAGGACACAGGAAUGCCCGAGGCUUGGCGUGUGAUGAUGUCUCUGAAGUCCGGCCUGUUGGCAGAGAGCACGUGGGCGCUCGACACCAUCAACAUUCUGCUGUACGACGACAGCACGGUGGCCUCCUUCAACCUCUCCCAGUUGCCGGGCUUCCUGGAGCUUGUUGUCGAGUACUUCCGUCGUUGCCUAAUUGAUAUCUUCGGCAUCCUUCAAGAGUUUGAAGUAGGAAUGGUGCCACAGGAAAGCUCGUCGGUCCCCACCUGUGGCAAGAAUGAAGAACCCAUCCUGAACGAUGAAACCGAAAGUGCUGUCCAGUUGAUAUCCGAGUCUAUACCAGCUACGGAGGUGCCCGCGGACCUACCUGGGAACAACAUAGAGGAAUCUCUUCCUGCUGAUGGAGAGCCUGUAUCAACAGAUGGGAAGAAGGAGCCUGGAGGGUGCAUAAAAAAAAGUGAAGAAGACAAAGAGGAGGGUGAAAAGAAAGCGGAGAGUAAAAAUCAGUGUGAUGCUGAGCAGCUCGUUGCUGAGCAGGAACCCAAACCCAAACAAGCUAGCAAAUAUGAUAAAUUCCCCAUCAGCAUUGUUGACAAAGAGGACAUAAGUGAAGACAUGACAGGUGACUUAGUUGAAGAGUUCACCAGUGGGCUGCUCCACUGGCAGGCAGGUGGUGGCGACACCACGUCUCACAUUCAGACAUACUUUGAACCUCGCCGUGGUCCACCUGCCAGGGUGGAGGACAAAGAACACAAGGUGCAUGGUGAGAAGGAGCAACCGAGGAAACAUAUCAUCGCUACAAUUGAUGAUGUUCUGUGUGCGCGGGUUGACGCCCUCUCUUACGCCCACCCUGCACGCUCCCUGCCUUCCUACCCUUUCAGGGUGCAUCCGGACGGAGAACAGGACCGCAUCACCUUGCUGGAGGACGAGCCACGCUGCCUGGAUGAAGCCCCGCUGUCCACAAGCUCAGCCUGGCAGGAAUCGCUGGCCAAGCGCUGCCUCUGCGUCUCCAACAUUGUCCGUGGCUUGUCCUUCAUCCCGGGGAAUGACUUGGAUUUGUCUCGACACCCUGCGCUGGUUCUUCUUCUGGGCAGGCUCCUGCUGCUGCACCACCAGCACCCCGAGAGGAACAGAUCGCCCCCUAGCUAUCAAAGAGACGAGCAGCGAGAUAAAGGACUUUCCAGCAGUAAAGACGAGUGGUGGUGGGAGUGUCUGAGUCUGCUCAGAGAAAAUGCAAUGGUGACUCUGGCAAAUAUCUCAGGCCAGCUGGAUCUCUCCACCUAUCCCGACAACAUCUGUCUGCCCAUCUUGGACGGCCUCCUCCACUGGAUGGUGUGCCCAUCAGCCGAAGCCCAGGACCCCUUCCCUUCGGCUGCGGUCUACUCCCAGCUCACCCCUCAGAGGCUGGUUCUCGAGUGCCUCUGCAAGCUUAGCAUCCAGGACGGUAAUGUAGAUCUCCUUCUAGCCACACCAUCUUUCAGUCGCCAGGAGAAACUCUUUACAAUACUGGUCCGCUACGUGGGUCAGAGGAAGGCCCAGGUGUACAGGGAGAUGGCCGUGGCCGUCAUCUCCCACCUGGCACAAGGAGACCCUACGGCUGCACGUGCCAUCGCCAUGCAGAAAGGAAGCGUGAGUAAUUUGGUGGCCUUCUUAGAAGAUGGCGUCAGCAUGGCACAGUACCAGCAGAACCCUCACAGCUUACUGCACAUGGGCCACGCCCACAUGGAUGUGCCUAGCGUCAGCAUGUUGUGCAGAGCAGCUAAAGGACUGUUGGCCAUGGCCAAGGUAGAGGAAAACAAAGCAGAGUUUGUGCUCUAUGAAAGCCGAUUGUUAGACAUUUCCAUUUCUUCCGUCCUCAACGCAGGAGUGGUGGCCAUUGUUUGCCAGGUUCUCUUUCAUUUAGGGAAGCUAUGACAGGAGGAGGGGCAGGACUUGGUUAACAGACACUAAGGCGGACAGACUAUUUCACUUGUUUUGCUAUUUUUAUUUAUCCAACAGAGAAAAAUGUUUUUUAAAGAAAAAUCCAUGUCAAAUAUCUCUAUGUAUAGUCUCUGCGCCCUCUUAAAUGCGGGUUUGAGAUUUCAUUUGAAUACAAAUAUUUAAUACCUGCUGGUGUUGGAUUGCUCGAGUUGAUAUUACGUUGAACCUUUGUUUACUUUUUUUCAGCCAAAGCUGACACCAAAUAUUGGUGCUGACUUCCAUCAAGGAGUUGUUGCAAUUAUCUUUUUUGUUGUAUCGUUUGUUUUGUAAAAGCUAUAAUGUGCUCAUUUUGUUUUAGGAGAGUAUUUAUUUAAAAAUGUGACACUGUACAGGAGGCUGACUUUUUUUUGCUAGCACUUGUGGAGGAAAAACACACUGACUUCUUUUCGUCGCUGUCUCUGCUGGAAGAGAACUUGUGCAAUAGGACAAGAACAGGCGGUCCUUACUAGAAACCAGAGGAAACCACACAUGCAGUCUGUACUGUGGGCCACAAGGGGGCAGCCGUGCACCAGCCAAUCAACUAGACGCGCAUCUGUCAAAAAAUGUAUUCAUCAUUGCCUCAAAGACUGCAACUUUUUUCUCCUCAAGGCUCGUGUCAUGUCUGCAUUAUUUCAUCACUGUAUACAAACCGAACAAUGGAUGCACACGGUUAUUUACUAUUCCAAUCAAGCAUAGCAAAAGAUGGGACUAUUAACAAAUGCUUUUAUUGUUGUCAAACAUUUGUUAUUGUUAUUACUAUACACAUUUUGUUAAUGGGGUCCGAUAUUUGAACAUGGUAACCGCUGUUUCAAUGUAAAAAAAAAUGCCUGUACGCAUUGUAUUAUAGCUGAGAAAACAAUCGCUUUGGUAAUCAAAUGUGAAAGUGCCAGGGUGAGAGGAUCCAUAGGUUACAUAAGAAAAGUGAACACGUUUCUUUUUGUUGCUGUCCUCCAUUCACGUCAGUGGGCACAUUUUGGAAUGCCCCAAAAGAAAUGUGUUAAAAUCCUACAAGAUGUUCAAGAUGCUCAUUGUAAAAAAUUGCCUUUUUUCGUAUGACUACAGUACGUCUCUUUUAUCCAGUAUACACAUUUAUACUCUGUCCUGCACAUGUCACAAAUAAAUGUACAAUGAACAUCUUGGCAGUAGUUACAUUCUGUCUACACUCUAGGGUCCCAAAAUGGGGCACACCAAUUGUCAAAAAUGAGCAAUGAUCGCCUAACGCUCACAAUUACGAGCUCACCUGAACUCCUCAUAGCACCGUCAUAGCAGAAAGAAGGAAGGAGACACGGCACGAAGUUCUUCAUUGCUCUGCGCAAGCAGUGUGGAUUAUGUAGACGUGGCAUUGGAGGAACACUUGCAUCGUCCCAGACAGCUAGCCGGGACGACCCAGCAGCCUGCGAAGCUGCGUACCGCCGGUAGCUGCUGUAGAUGGAGCCGGAGACGGCAUCACGGCAGACGGAAGAGAGGGUGCUGCGGUAUCCUGACGUCCAGGCUAAUGGAAGUUUCCCUGCCAUUGGACCAGUGACGUGUGAAGCAGCUGAGAUGAAGUAGAAGGCAACACCGCUGGUCUUUCUAGCGGUUCUGGCACCGAGCCUGUCGGAUGGCCGGCUGCGCCACCUCCAGAUGUGAGCCCAAAAAGAGACUUGACGAGGCCAUCAUGUUGCCUGAAGAAAUUGAAAUGCUCAAACAUAUCCAUUAUCCUGUCAGAAAGACCUUCUUCAUCAAAAGGAACCCCCGGACCGGCAUCAAGGACCUGUGAAUGGGCAACUUUUGCCACAGAGACACCGAACCAGCAACAUUUGCCACUGAAUGGCCAACCUCUGCCACAGGGACCCGGGAAUGGGCAACAAGGACUCCUGAAUGGGAAACCUUUGCCACAGUGACACCCGAACCGGCAACAUUUGCCAAAGGGACACCUAAAUGGACAACAAGAACUCCUGAAUGGGAAACAUUUACCACACUGACCCUUCAACCGUCAACAAAAAGCCAUGAAUGGGCAAGCUUUGCCACAGAGACCAUGGAACUGGCAGCAGGAACCCCUGAAUUGGCAACUUUUGUCACAGGUACCCCUCAAUCGGCAACCUUUACCAUAGGGACCGCGGAAUGGGCACAAAGGACUCCUCAAUGGAAAACUUUUGCCACAGGUACCCUUCAGCCAUCAACAAGGACCCCUGAACUGGCAACAUUUUACCACAGGGACCCAGGAAAGGGCAACAAGGUCUUCUGAAUGGGCAACUUUUGCCACUGGGACCCCUGAACCGACAACCUUUGCCACCGAGACCCCAGAAGUGGCAACAAGAACCCCUGAAAUGGCAACUUUUGCCACAGGUACCCCUCAGUGGGCAACCUUUGGCACAGGGACCCCUGAACCGGAAAACUUUGCCACAGGGACCUCGGACCUGGCUACAAGAAGUCCUGAAUGGGCAACUUUUGCCACUGGGAUCCCUGAACCGGCAAUUUUUGCCACAGAAACCUGCAUGGGAACUGGCAGCAAGAACCAUUGAAUUGGCAAGUUUGGCCACAGGUACUCCUCAGUCGGUAACCUUUGUGACAGGUACUGCUGAAUUGGCAACCUUUGCCACAGGGACCACUGAACCGGCAAUCUUUGCCACAGGGACCCCCGGAGCUGGCAACAUAAAACCCUGAAUUGGCAACUCUUGCCACAGGUCCCCUCAUCCGGCAACCUUUUUCACAAGGGACGCCCUGAACCGGGAAGCACAUAUCAAUAUAAAUCCUCAUUUCAUUGCUUAAUGUACUGUAUGUGGUUUCCUGACUCAAACAUAACAUGUAUAAUUCUUCAUGCUCAGCAGUCAUGUGCCUUUUACUUUUGAUAGGCAGCAUAUUUGAAUUCACUCAGUGGACACUUCAUUAGGUACACCAUCUAAAUAGUUAUAGAGAUCCUUACUUGUAGGUAUUGAUCAGUAUGGUUUUGUACUGUACCAUAAUGGCACUGUUAUAUC